AAAACCAAGGAAUCGUCGGAAUUGAGAGGAUUCGAAUUAAGGAGGCUGUCUGUACAAGGGCUGACAUGAGAACACAAUCGUCAAGAAGCGUUUUGGUUUGGACUAAUGACUACUGUGCUACUUCUGGCGUCCUCGACUGACCGCGGCCAUUGUAAUGGAAUUGGUAUGAAGCCUCUGUUCCGUGGAAAUGGAAAUGUCUCAUCACUUAGAAAACCGGCGAGUUUGGAAAUGCCAAUAAAGCCUCAUUAUCUAUCUCUACUUAAACAUGCCUGACAUCAAUUAUUAAUUUCGAUUAAGAUAUAAUGUCACUAAUUGUCGAACUUUUGUCUACCUGGAGCGGUUAAAUCGAAUUCUGUCGUCUGACCCUCGAGACAGUUCGUUAAAGUGGGACAUUAUUAAUAAUACUUAUUUAGUAAUAAUUCUGUGGAUAUCGAUAAUCUCUUUGUUACCUCAUUUGCAUUUUAUUUUUACUAAAUACCUAUUUGAAUCUCAAAAUAACCAUUUGUACAUUUUAUCUAGUGUAGUCUCCGAUGAUUUUUAAUUCGGCGUACAAUGUAGAAACAAAGAUCGUAUGAUACAUCGCAAUGAACAGUAUUUCAGACUCAUCUAGAUUGUUGUGCUCCUUUUUACGUACUUAAACAUCAGCUACGUAUAUCAGAAAAUGCUAUCAAUUUAAUGUAUACUAGUACAUUUGGUGUUGAACUUUUGUACGACAAAUUGAAAUAAUUUUCCUAUGGGUAUAACAUAGACCUAUACAAUCAAUAUUAUAACACACAGACCACUCAGAAUUAUGGAAUUAUGUGAGAUUUGUCUUCUUCUUCUUCACAGAUAUCUGACGACGAUGGCGAGCUACAUUCUUCUGAUUGCGUUGGCUUUACUCCCGGUCUCUUGUGCCGUCUAUCUGGACGAACCCUCAGGGUAUCCCCUCGCCAGGCCUUACAAUUCAGCUUGUCUUCAGUGUCUGUUCACGCACAAACGAGAAUACUGCGAGAUUUGUAAAUAUGAAGAUGAUGGAGGUGAUUUUCUUACCACUAAUAAAAGAUCUGACUAUUACAACAGUAAUAUAAGGAAGCGUGGAUACUAUUGUCUAUGUUGUGCCCGGUCAAGGUUGACCAAUUCCGGAUGUUGCACCCUUUGUAGCAGCGAGAUGUAAGAAACAAGAAUUGUCAUAACGCUAAUAAAGAACUACGCCUAAACGACUUUUACUACAAUUUAUAAAAUUCAUAUCCGAUUUUCAUGAUUUUCAACAGCACUGUUUUGCAACAUAUCAGAUCCACUUUUAAAAUAAAGCACUAAAUUGUUUGUG
rnacentral:sRNA from 1 species